rnacentral:tRNA from 1 species
GCCAGUGUGAUGGAAUGGUAGACUUGGUCGACUCAAAAUCGACUGCCGAAAGGCAUACCGGUUCGAGUCCGGUCACUGGUACCA